UGGUGGAAUAUGUAUACUCGAAUACGAUCCUGUGUGUGGUUCAGACGGCAACACCUACAGCAACACGUGUUUCCUUGACUCCGCCGUGUGUAAGAAACCUCACCUUGAACUGGAGCGUGUGGGCCGCUGUGAGGACGGCCCAGGGACCCAGUGGUGGGCAGGUGUCGAUGAAGACUGAACCUUGACUGAAAGGCCAUCAAUCAACACACAGACAGUCACUACUGCUCCUGAUCCACCUGACUGAAGCCUCUCACUUCACUCUUAUUGUGUGCUUCACCUGUCACUCAGUAAAUACCAAUUAACUAACA